rnacentral:tRNA from 1 species
GGCCGCGCUGGGCCUGGCCGGGGUCCUCGGCCUUGGGCACGCCGGCGGGGUUGAGCGCGUCCUGCUCGAGUUCGACGUCCGGCGGGGGCG